rnacentral:lncRNA from 1 species
UGGCGUGACCCUGCCAACCAACCAAAAUGGCCACCAUGGCUAAAAAUAGAACAUAGGGGUAAAAUGUACAUUUUGGCUUAUAUCUCUGAAACCAAGUAUUAAGAGCAAAUUUGACAAGGGAUAAUUUGUUUAUCUGGUCAAGAUCUAUCUGCCCUGAAAUUUUCAGACAAAACAGACACCCUGUUGUUGGGUUGCUGCCCCAGAAUUAGUAAUUUUAAGGAAAUUUUGCAGUUUUUGGUUAUUAUCUUGAAUAUUAUAAUAGAUAGAGAUAAACUGUAAACAGCAAUAAUGUUCAGCAAAGUAAGAUCUACAAAUAAGUCAACAUGACCAAAAUUGUCAAGUUACCCCUUAAGGAGUUGUUGCCCUUUAUAGUCAUUUUUUAACAAUUUUCAUAAAUUUUUGUAAUUUGU